rnacentral:lncRNA from 1 species
GUCACAACAUAAGUAAACAAAACAGAUCCCCCGUGAAUUAUCUCCUAUACUGCCAGAGUGCUUUCUCUUAUAAACUGCCUCUAUUUCAACUACCUUACCCUGUGUUCCCCGAUGCUGGCAUUUGUCCUAUGACAAAAGAACCUGGAAAUUCAAGUGAGUGAUCUCUGAACUCAGAUCCACAUCCACAUCACCUCGUAGAACAUUCUGAAGUGGGGCUGGAAAGAG